rnacentral:rRNA from 1 species
GAUGAACGCUGGCGGCGUGCCUAAUACAUGCAAGUCGAGCGAACAGACGAGGAGCUUGCUCCUCUGACGCUAGCGGCGGACGGGUGAGUAACACGUGGAUAACCUACCUAUAAGACUGGGAUAACUUCGGGAAACCGGAGCUAAUACCGGAUAAUAUAUUGAACCGCAUGGUUCAAUAGUGAAAGACGGCUUUGCUGUCACUUAUAGAUGGAUCCGCGCCGCAUUAGCUAGUUGGUAAGGUAACGGCUUACCAAGGCAACGAUGCGUAGCCGACCUGAGAGGGUGAUCGGCCACACUGGAACUGAGACACGGUCCAGACUCCUACGGGAGGCAGCAGUAGGGAAUCUUCCGCAAUGGGCGAAAGCCUGACGGAGCAACGCCGCGUGAGUGAUGAAGGUCUUCGGAUCGUAAAACUCUGUUAUUAGGGAAGAACAAAUGUGUAAGUAACUAUGCACGUCUUGACGGUACCUAAUCAGAAAGCCACGGCUAACUACGUG